rnacentral:rRNA from 1 species
UACAGAGACUGCAAGCGUUAUUCGGAUUCACUGGGCGUAAAGGGUGCGCAGGCGGCCGAGUGUGUGAGGCGUGAAAGCCCGGGGCUUAACCCCGGAAUUGCACCUCAAACUACACGGCUAGAGCAUUGGAGAGGUAGCAGAAUUCAUGGUGUAGCAGUGAAAUGCGUAGAUAUCAUGAGGAAUACCAGAGGCGAAGGCGGCUACCUGGACAAUUGCUGACGCUCAGGCACGAAAGCGUGGGGAGCAAAGGG